rnacentral:rRNA from 1 species
GAUGAACGCUGGCGGCGUGCCUAAUACAUGCAAGUCGAGCGAACGGACGAGAAGCUUGCUUCUCUGAUGUUAGCGGCGGACGGGUGAGUAACACGUGGAUAACCUACCUAUAAGACUGGGAUAACUUCGGGAAACCGGAGCUAAUACCGGAUAAUAUUUUGAACCGCAUGGUUCAAAAGUGAAAGACGGUCUUGCUGUCACUUAUAGAUGGAUCCGCGCUGCAUUAGCUAGUUGGUAAGGUAACGGCUUACCAAGGCAACGAUGCAUAGCCGACCUGAGAGGGUGAUCGGCCACACUGGAACUGAGACACGGUCCAGACUCCUACGGGAGGCAGCAGUAGGGAAUCUUCCGCAAUGGGCGAAAGCCUGACGGAGCAACGCCGCGUGAGUGAUGAAGGUCUUCGGAUCGUAAAACUCUGUUAUUAGGGAAGAACAUAUGUGUAAGUAACUGUGCGCAUCUUGACGGUACCUAAUCAGAAAGCCACGGCUAACUACAUG